AGUGAACGCUGGCGGCGUGCUUAACACAUGCAAGUCGAACGAGAACGGAUUAUAGCUUGCUAUAAUUGUCAGCUAAGUGGCGCACGGGUGAGUAAUGUAUAGGUAAUAUGCCUCUUACUAAGGGAUAACAAAUGGAAACGUUUGCUAAUACCUUAUACUCCUUAUUAACAGAAGUUAAUAAGGGAAAGAUUUAUUGGUAAGAGAUUAGCCUGUAUUGUAUCAGUUAGUUGGUGGGGUAAUGGCUUACCAAGACUAUGACACAUAACUGGUUUGAGAGGAUGAUCAGUCACACUGGAACUGAGACACGGUCCAGACUCCUACGGGAGGCAGCAGUGGGGAAUAUUGCACAAUGGACGAAAGUCUGAUGCAGCAACGCCGCGUGGAGGAUGACACAUUUCGGUGCGUAAACUCCUUUUAUAUGAGAAGAUAAUGACGGUAUUAUAUGAAUAAGCACCGGCUAACUCCGUGCCAGCAGCCGCGGUAAA
rnacentral:rRNA from 1 species